rnacentral:rRNA from 1 species
UACGGAGGGGACUAGCGUUGUUCGGAAUCAUUGGGCGUAAAGCGCACGUAGGCGGUUCGUUAUGUCGGAUGUGAAAGCCCUCGGCUUAACCGGGGAAGUGCAUCCGAAACUGGCGAGCUUGAGUACUAAAGAGGGUCGCGGAAUUCCCGGUGUAGAGGUGAAAUUCGUAGAUAUCGGGAGGAACACCAGCGGCGAAGGCGGCGACCUGGGUAGAUACUGACGCUGAGGUGCGAAAGCGUGGGGAGCAAACAGG